rnacentral:rRNA from 1 species
UACGAAGGGAGCUAGCGUUGCUCGGAAUCACUGGGCGUAAGGGUGCGUAGGCGGGUCUUUAAGUCAGGGGUGAAAUCCUGGAGCUCAACUCCAGAACUGCCUUUGAUACUGAAGAUCUUGAGUUCGGGAGAGGUGAGUGGAACUGCGAGUGUAGAGGUGAAAUUCGUAGAUAUUCGCAAGAACACCAGUGGCGAAGGCGGACUCACUGGCCCGGUACUGACGCUGAGGUGCGAAAGCGUGGGAGC